UACGGAGGGUGCAAGCGUUGUUCGGAUUUACUGGGCGUAAAGGGCGCGUAGGCGGCAAUUCAAGUCAGUUGUGAAAUCUCCGAGCUUAACUCGGAACGGUCAACUGAUACUGUUUUGCUAGAGUGCAGAAAGGGCAACCGGAAUUCUUGGUGUAGCGGUGAAAUGCGUAGAUAUCAAGAGGAACACCUGAGGCGAAGGCGGGUUGCUAGGCUGACACUGACGCUGAGGCGCGAAAGCUAGGGUAGCAAACGGG
rnacentral:rRNA from 1 species